CGCAUCUUGCACUCUCUAGUAUUCUGGAGAGUAUGCCCGGUUGAGUGUUUUGAAUCUCUCAAGACUCCCUGCUUUCUUCGGAGAGCUGGGCUGUCCUUGGUGCUUGAGUGUCUGCUGGUCUCAUGAUCAGCUCACUUGAAAUUCAUUAGCUGGAUCCUCGGUCCAACAAUUGACGUGAUAAGGUUACGUCGUCUUUGUUUGGUCACUUGUGAGGUCCGCUCCUAGCUGUCUUCGGACAAAUUUCACUUCAUCUUACACCUCAACUCGGGUAGGACUACCCGCUGAACUUAA
rnacentral:misc_RNA from 1 species